rnacentral:sRNA from 1 species
GUCGGGCGUGAUGGUGCACGCCUGUAAUCCCAGCAGUUUGGGAGGCUGAAGCAGGAGGAUCUCAAGUUCAAAGCCAGCCUCAGCAACUUAGUGAGGCGCUAAGCAACCCAGUGAGACCCUGUCUCUA